CGUCAGUGCUUUCGAGGUUCCUUUUUGGCCCGUGGCGCCACCUGAAGUGUGCACUUACCCGGCUGACGCGGGACCCUGCAAGGCGUACAUGCCUCGCUUCUCCUACAACACGCUGACGAAGACGUGUGAGCAGUUCGUCUACGGAGGAUGCGGAGGCAACGGCAACAACUUCCUCACCUACGAUGCGUGCCAGAAGAAAUGCAAGACGGUCUUUAAAGUCAUUCCCCGCGCCUAAGAAAAAACAAAGCAC
rnacentral:lncRNA from 1 species